rnacentral:lncRNA from 1 species
GAGUGUUAUUCCAGUCGCGUUUGCCGCUCAAAUGAACGCGUAUGGGGUUAUAGUCCUGCAAGUGAUCGUGGCGGUCAAAGUUUUAAUGACCAUCAAAUUGUACAUGAUCGCGAGGAAUCAACUCAAACGCGAAGCGCCAAGCAGCGACAAGGACAGCAAGAAAGAGUCGCUGCGCAUUAUCGUGUUUGUGGUCAUUUGUUUUCUCAUUUUAUGGGGUCCGUCCUUUGUUAACAUUUCCGUGAGAUUUGUGACCAGGAAUGGACUGAAGUUCAGAAAUGAAGCCACGAAUCUAUUCGCGAUCAUGGCGCGGUUUAACGCGCUCAGCACGCCCGCGCUCUACAUCUGGGGCAGUCCAGCGUUGCGCGCGGCCGUCUGGAGCUCCGUGUGGAGUAAAAUAUUCAGAACAACGACAAGGGUGGAAGUGAAGCCCAGCAAAGGAGACAGAGUUCUCAGCAUUACGCGGAGCACCAGAGAAACAUGAACACUGCAGACUCCUCUGCUGCUGAAGCAUUGAUCCGAGCUAUCUCAGUAGAGUAGAAAAACAAUCAAUCAGGUUUGACUCUGACAGGCUUGUUGACAGAAUGCCAAAGUGGUUUUUAUUAUGUCUAUGCAUUAU